CUAUGCGCCUUGCCAGCCCGCUCAGUCAGAGUUUGAUCCUGGCUCAGGAUGAACGCUAGCUACAGGCUUAACACAUGCAAGUCGAGGGAAACGGCAUUGAGUGCUUGCACUGAAUGGACGUCGACCGGCGCACGGGUGAGUAACGCGUAUCCAACCUUCCCAUAACUAAGGGAUAACCUACCGAAAGGCAGACUAAUACCUUAUGUAAUUCUUAGAUGACAUCAGAAGAGAAUGAAAGAUUUAUCGGUUAUGGAUGGGGAUGCGUCUGAUUAGCUUGUUGGCGGUAACAGCCACCAAGGCAACGAUCAGUAGGGGUUCUGAGAGGAAGGUCCCCCACAUUGGAACUGAGACACGGUCCAA
rnacentral:rRNA from 1 species